CUAGAUGAACUGAAAAACACAAAUUGCCCCAAUUUUACCAUUAGAUCUCAAUUUUUCGAUUCAAAUUUUCGAUUCAGUUCUAAAUCGUCACAAGAUAUUAAAUUAAAAUCAUAAUUCAUCCCCAUAUAUUCAUCCGAAACGCUAACCUAGAAAAAAGCACAAGUUCCCCCAAUUAUAAUUAGAUAUCACUUUAUCGAUGGAGCUUAAACGAAGUUGAUAGAUCGGUAUUGGUGGCGUUUACACCAAACGCACCGUAUUUGCCACCGGAAGUAUGUCCGGAUCUAGAUAUGUCAUUUAGUUCAUCAUUAAAUCUUGAAAUAUUCAACCUUGAUUUCCGAUCUGAUAAUCUAAUAUUAUCAGGCUCUGCAAAGUUCCGAACCGUUUAAUCGGUUAUCAUGGGGAAUUCAUACUGGCUUUGAGAUUUAAGAAAAGUUGCAUUUCAAUAGUGGUACAUUGGCUGCGGAACUAGUUUGCGGCUUUUGUCGUUUAAUGGAUCAUUUAUGCUGCAGGUUCAUUUUUUAUAUUUUGAAAUAACAAAAAGAUAGAUAUAUAUAAUUUUUAAUAGUAAAACUGCUAGAGAUACCAAAAAGGAAGAAGCAAUUCUUUUUAACAUAGAAAUAAUCUCUUAUACUGAAGUUCUAAUGAUCCAUUGGGCAAUAGUGAGCAGACUUGUUACGCAGACAAUGUACCACUUUUGGAGUGCACUUUUGGAGUGUCGGAGAGGGAAAACCAUGUGGUGCUAGUUGCCAUCUAAUCGGGACUGAUAUUUUAGAUGAGGAUCCAUAACCAAUAUCCCACCGUUAUUAACUACAUAGAUGCAAAGUGUAGAAACUAUGCUUGGAUAUCUUUCAUUUGCAUAUAAGAUACAUGACUUAUGAUUAUGCAAUAUUGUAAAUUAGGUCUUUAUUUUUACUUUCUAAAUCUAGAUCUAGAUUAUGAUAUAUCUUAGACAAGUAUGACAACACCUGUUUUUUGUUUUUUCCUUUUUUUUUAAAGUGGAGACAUUUUAUCAUAUGAAACUUCUAUUUGAGAUUGGAUGGGCAUCACAUUAUAAUCCUGCCUGCCUAAGAGGCCGCACACCACUCCCGUAUUUAUUCCUUAUUUUCGUGGAAGACUCAUUAUUUUUAUUGUGAUUGAUUUGUAUUGAUUCUUGUUCCAAAGGAUGUGAAAAUGUCCUUGUCCAACAACUAUCGAGACACAAAGGACCUAAGAGUUUUUUUGUGUGGUUCAUUUUGUUUGUGGGAUCUAGUCCCAUUAAAUUUGUUUUCCUUUGCAUUUAAAAGUUUAAUCUAAAUGCCGUUCUUCAAGAUUGUUCUUCCAGGUUCGUGAACUGGAAUUUAGUUCCCUUUCCCCAAACCCAAACCAUCUCACCUCUGGUGCUGAAGAAGGUGUAAUAUGUAUCUGGGAUAUAUUUUCUUUUUCUCUUGCAUCUAUGAUAAUAUAUUACGGAGUAUAUUAUUAUGGUCUAGUCUGGAAGGUAAUUUUAUGUAGGUUUUGCAUUGCUUUUCCUUUUCAAUAAUUAUACGUAGUCUCAUUUUCCUAUGAUCCAGGUUGAUGUGCAUGACUUGGUUACUGAACAUAGUUUAGUUAGCACCUCAUGUGAAUUCGGAGAGGCAAUGCGUAGUGGAGAGAGAUCUACAAUGAGGAUUUUGUGCAAUAAAAGAACUCAAGAUUCCAAAUCCUAGGAUGACAAAGAAACAUGGGGAUUCUUGUAUGUUUGAAGAGGAUGGAACAGCAUGGACAAAACUACUAAACCAUCGUGGCUUCACUUUACCUAGAGAAGAAGUAAAUGAUACAAUACAAAACGAUCUCUUUCAGGAUCUAAGCUCCCUUAAUCUAGGCAAAAGUAAUGAAACUAAAGAAGGAUUUAUGACGGCAACCCAGCGUUCAACCAUCCAUCUGAUAACGGGGAAGAUUUCUUUAACAAUUUCCAGAGUUAAUAAACUAGAUGCACUUCCUACACUAGAAGUCCUGGUUUUGAGGUGGGUGUGGGUUAUAUUAGCCUCAUUUAGUUUGUAUGUUACUUGUCGUAAUUUCACUGUGGUUGUAUCAAAAGGAAAAAAAAAAAAAAAACACCAAAUGCAUUACAUUAGCCUCACCAUUUGAAAUGUAAUUGGUUGAUCUUGUGAUACCCUUGCUUCUACGCUCGUAGCUGCUGGAAAUACAUAACAUCAGUUAGUUUUA